rnacentral:tRNA from 1 species
GCCGGUAUAGCUCAGUUGGUAGAGCAUCUGAUUUGUAAUCAGAGGGUCGGGAGUUCAAGUCUCUCUGCCGGCA